rnacentral:rRNA from 1 species
AGCGAACGCUGGCGGCAGGCCUAACACAUGCGAGUCGAACGAAGUCUUCGGACUUAGUGGCGGACGGGUGAGUAACACGUGGGAACGUGCCUUUAGGUUCGGAAUAACUCAGGGAAACUUGUGCUAAUACCGAAUGUGCCCUUCGGGGGAAAGAUUUAUCGCCUUUAGAGCGGCCCGCGUCUGAUUAGCUAGUUGGUGAGGUAAAGGCUCACCAAGGCUACGAUCAGUAGCUGGUCUGAGAGGAUGACCAGCCACAUUGGGACUGAGACACGGCCCAAACUCCUACGGGAGGCAGCAGUGGGGAAUCUUGCGCAAUGGGCGAAAGCUUGACGCAGCCAUGCCGCGUGGAUGAUGAAGGUCUUGGGAUUGUAAAAUCCUUUCACCGGUGAAGAUAAUGACUGUAGCCGGAGAAGAAGCCCCGGCUAACUUCGUGCCAGCCGCCGCGGUAAAAC